UCCCUGAUGGUCCAGUGGUUAGGACAUGGGGCUUUCAAGGCAAAGAGCCUGGGUUCAGUUCUUGGUCAGGGAG
rfam:TPA: Bos taurus chromosome 16, whole genome shotgun sequence.